rnacentral:lncRNA from 1 species
AUCAUAAUUGAAUUCAGCUCGUUCCACUCUAAAAUAUGAUCUGAAAUACAGAAACUACAUUGUAUGCAUUUCUCAAUUGAUUUGGUGGUUAUUAGUCUGAGAUCUGUAGGUAAAGAUGAUCAGGUGAAAAAGGAUGAUGCCUCUGGCCAGGAACAGAACGCCCUAUUUGGAUGGGGGAAGAAGAAGGACAAAGAUGGGGAUAAGUGUGUGUCCAAGGACAAAUCAAAGGACCAUGACAAAUCGAAGGACUGUAAGCACCAUGACAAAUCAAAGGACCAUAAGGAGGACAAAGACAAGUCUAAGGAACAUAAAGACAAGAAACAUGGUGACAAGAAGGACAAAGGUCAUAAGAAGAAGAAAGACAAGAAGCCAAAGGAGCAUAAGGACAAAGAUGAUGGGUCAUCAUCUUCCUCGUCCAGCAGCGAUGAGGAUGAAGGCAAGAAGAAGCAUCACUGAUUCUGGUGCUGUGAGGAAGUGCUACUGCCGGUGAACUCUUACAAUGUUUUGUACUGCAAUGUUGCAUGCAUGAUAUUUACUGUGUACUGUUUCCUUGUUGCUCCUGAUCAUGUUUUGAUGUGCCAGACUGUAAAGUAGUGGUUUUACAACCGAAUAUUAAAUAACCCAACAACCAGGAUAUAUGGUGAAUGUCAGACUUCUUUCCUCCCUCGUAAAAAGUCUAAUGUCCACCAGAAGGGGGAGGUGUUCUUCAUUGAAUGUUUAUUUAACCU